GACGUAGGGGGCGAGCGUUGUCCGGAUUUAUUGGGCGUAAAGCGCGCGUAGGCGGUCCGUUAAGUCGGGUGUGAAAACCCGGGGCUCAACCCCGGGCCUGCAUUCGAUACUGGCGGGCUGGAGGCAGGUAGGGGGAAGCGGAAUUCCCGGUGUAGCGGUGAAAUGCGCAGAUAUCGGGAGGAACACCGGUGGCGAAGGCGGCUUCCUGGGCCUGUCCUGACGCUGAGGCGCGAAAGCUAGGGGAG
rnacentral:rRNA from 1 species